UACGUAGGUGGCAAGCGUUGUCCGGAAUUAUUGGGCGUAAAGGGCUCGCAGGCGGUUUCUUAAGGCUGAUGUGAAAGCCCCCGGCUCAACCGGGGAGGGUCAUUGGAAACUGGGAAACUUGAGUGCAGAAGAGGAGAGUGGAAUUCCACGUGUAGCGGUGAAAUGCGUAGAGACCCGGAGGAACACCAGUGGCGAAGGCGGCUUCCUGGUCUGCGACUGACGCUGUGGCGCGAAAGCUAGGGGAGCAAACGGG
rnacentral:rRNA from 1 species